rnacentral:rRNA from 1 species
CCUACGGGGGGCAGCAGUGGGGAAUAUUGCUCAAUGGGGGAAACCCUGAUGCAGCGACGCCGCGUGAAGGACGAAGUAUCUCGGUAUGUAAACUUUCUUCAGCAGGGAAGAAAAUGACGGUACCUGACCAAGAAGCCCCGGCUAAAUACGUGCCAGCAGCCGCGGGUACAAGGGGGGGGGGCGCGUUAUUCGGAUUUACUGGGUGUAAAGGGCGGGUAGACGGCCAUGCAAGUCGAGUGUGCAGACCCGGGGUUCAACCCCCGGAGUGCAUUGGAAACUGUUCGGCUGGAGUGUCGGAGAGGCAAGUGGAAUUCCUGGUGUAGCGGUGAAAUGCGUAGAUAUUAGGAAGAACACCGGUGGCGAAGGCGGCAUGCUGGACGACGACUGACGUUGAGGCACGAAAGCGUGGGGAGCGAACAGGAUUAGAUACCCCUGUAGUC